CACGUAGGGGCCAAGCGUUGUCCGGAUUUAUUGGGCGUAAAGAGCUCGUAGGCGGUUGGGUAAGUCGGGUGUGAAAACUCCAGGCUCAACUCGGAGACGCCACCCGAUACUGCUCUGACUUGAGUUCGGUAGGGGAGUGGGGAAUUCCUGGUGUAGCGGUGAAAUGCGCAGAUAUCAGGAGGAACACCGGUGGCGAAGGCGCCACUCUGGGCCGAAACUGACGCUGAGGAGCGAAAGCGUGGGUAGCAAACAGG
rnacentral:rRNA from 1 species